ACCUGCCUGGCUCAGUUGGUAGAGCAUAGGACUUUUGAUCUUGUGGUCAUGAGUUCAGCCCCAUGUUAGGCA
rnacentral:tRNA from 1 species